rnacentral:rRNA from 1 species
AAUAUGGAGAGUUUGAUCCUGGCUCAGAGUGAACGCUGGCGGCGUGCCUAAUACAUGCAAGUCGAACGGACAAGUAAGAGCUUGCUCUUAUGAGUUAGUGGCGCACGGGUGAGUAAUGUAUAGCUAAUCUGCCCUACACUAGAGGACAACAGUUGGAAACGACUGCUAAUACUCUAUACUCCUGUCUAGCAUAAGUUAGAUAGGGAAAGUUUUUCGGUGUAGGAUGAGGCUAUAUUGUAUCAGCUAGUUGGUGAGGUAAUGGCUCACCAAGGCUAUGACGCAUAACUGGUCUGAGAGGAUGAUCAGUCACACUGGAAC